rnacentral:rRNA from 1 species
CGUCCUCUCAGACCAGCUACUGAUCGUCGCCUUGGUAGGCCUUUACCCCACCAACUAGCUAAUCAGCCAUCGGCCAACCCUAUAGCGCGAGGCCCGAAGGUCCCCCGCUUUCAUCCGUGGAUCGUAUGCGGUAUUAAUCCGGCUUUCGCCGGGCUAUCCCCCACUACAGGACAUGUUCCGAUGUAUUACUCACCCGUUCGCCACUCGCCACCAGGUGCAAGCACCCGUGCUGCCGUUCGACUUGCAUGUGUAAGGCAUGCCGCCGC